rnacentral:lncRNA from 12 species
AUGCCCGGAGCGGACCCGGGCCGCCCGGACUCCGGAGCAACAUGGCGCCCAGGCCGCGCCGCCUGGCCCCGGGGAGGGCUGGCGCCUGGGCCGGGCCUGGGCCGGGCCAGCUCCCCGGCCUCCUCGGGCCGGCCGCUGAGUGGCCAGCCGCGCCUGCCGCCUCCGCCCUCUCCCGCCUCCCCCUGCCUGGUGGUGGGUUCGGGGGUCCGGCCCACCCGCCUCUGCCACGUCUGCCAUCCUCCCGGCACCCAGGAGCAUCUUUCAAAAAUUCCCGGUGGGCGGGGCCGAGCCGCAGCGGCCGCCUCUGGCCCCCCCUCCCCGGGCAGCCAGUGCCAGAUGAGAGCAGGAGACAAAAGUAGCAUUUUCCUCGUCCUCCUGGGCUGGCAGCAGAGCCUCCCCCAGCACCACUUGGCUCCUGGCAGCCCUGCCUCCGGGGGCCGGGGUGGCCGAGGCCCAGGCCGCGGCGGCCGAGACCGGGGCAGCGAUGGCCGAGGGUGGCCAGGGAGAGCAGGACGCCUGCGGGCCCGGCGGCGUGGGGCUGGCACCUGGGGACGGCCUGCUGGCCGGCGGGACCCCCCACCCCCCGCGGUGCCCGGCCUGGCCAGGGGGCACCGUGGGCACGUCCUUGCGUUGGAGAAAGCUCCUCAGCCUCCUGCACCUUGGGACUAA